rnacentral:rRNA from 1 species
GUCUACGACCAUCUCACCCUGAAUGCGCCCGAUCUCGUCUGAUCUCGGAAGCUAAGCAGAGUCGAGCCUGGUUAAUACUUGGAUGGGAGACUGCCUGGGAAUACCAGGUGUUGUAGGCG